CAAGGAAGGCAGCAGGCGCGCAAAUUACCCACUCCCGGCACGGGGAGGUAGUGACGAAAAAUAACGAUACGGGACUCAUCCGAGGCCCCGUAAUCGGAAUGAGUACACUUUAAAUCCUUUAACAAGGAUCAAUUGGAGGGCAAGUCUGGUGCCAGCAGCCGCGGUAAUUCCAGCUCCAAUAGCGUAUAUUAAAGUUGCUGCGGUUAAAAAGCUCGUAGUUGAAUCUGUGUAUCACGCCGUCGGUUCGCCGAUUGCGGUGUUUACUGUUCGGCUAGUGAUACGUAUUACCGGUGGGCUUGCUUUGUCGCUCGUUCGCGCCCGUAGUAAGGCUUUGCGAAGGUUUCGCCACGUCUUCCGUGAGGUCGACGCUGUGCGUUUCUGGAGCUCAGUCCGAGUUGCGGUGUCGUGUGGCGUUGCGGCGGGCGGUCCUAAUUCUUGGCAACAAGAAAAUCCCGCAGCGGUGCUCUUCAACGAGUGACGUUGCGGGCCGGUACAUUUACUUUGAACAAAUUUGAGUGCUCAAAGCAGGCUAUAAUGCCUAAAAAUACGAUGCAUGGAAUAAUGAAAUAGGACUUCGGUUCUAUUUUGUUGGUUUUCGGAACCCCCGAAGUAAUGAUUAAUAGGGACAGAAGGGGGCAUUCGUAUUGCGGCGUUAGAGGUGAAAUUCUUGGAUCGCCGCAAGACGUACUAAAGC
rnacentral:rRNA from 1 species